UGCCUACGGGGGGCAGCAGUGGGGAAUAUUGCACAAUGGGGGAAACCCUGAUGCAGCGACGCCGCGUGAGUGAAGAAGUAUUUCGGUAUGUAAAGCUCUAUCAGCAGGGAAGAAAAUGACGGUACCUGACUAAGAAGCCCCGGCUAACUACGUGCCAGCAGCCGCGGUAAUACGUAGGGGGCAAGCGUUAUCCGGAUUUACUGGGUGUAAAGGGAGCGUAGACGGCUAUGCAAGUCUGGAGUGAAAGGCGGGGGCCCAACCCCCGGACUGCCCUGGAAACGGUAGAGCUAGAGUGCAGGAGGGGG
rnacentral:rRNA from 1 species